GUGCUUGCUUCAGCAGCACAUAUGCUAAAAUUGGAAUGAUACAGAGAAAAUUAG
ensembl:snRNA RNU6-523P RNA, U6 small nuclear 523, pseudogene